rnacentral:rRNA from 1 species
ACGGGUGAGUAACACGUGGGAACGUACCUUUUGGUUCGGGAUAACUAAGGGAAACUUUAGCUAAUACCGGAUGAGCCCUUAGGGGGAAAGAUUUAUCGCCGAAAGAGCGGCCCGCGUUAGAUUAGCUAGUUGGUGGGGUAAUGGCCCACCAAGGCUACGAUCUAUAGCUGGUCUGAGAGGAUGAUCAGCCACACUGGGACUGAGACACGGCCCAGACUCCUACGGGAGGCAGCAGUGGGGAAUCUUGCGCAAUGGGCGAAAGCCUGACGCAGCCAUGCCGCGUGAAUGAUGAAGGUCUUAGGAUUGUAAAAUUCUUUUAGCAGGGACGAUAAUGACGGUACCUGCAGAAAAAGCCCCGGCUAACUUCGUGCCAGCAGCCGCGGUAAUACGAAGGGGGCUAGCGUUGCUCGGAAUUACUGGGCGUAAAGGGAGCGUAGGCGGGUUAUCAAGUUGGGGGUGAAAGCCCGGGGCUCAACCUCGGAAUUGCCUUCAAAACUGAUAACCUGGAGUAUGGAAGAGGUAAGUGGAACUCCGAGUGUAGAGGUGAAAUUCGUAGA